CGAAUUAAAGUAUUGAAUCACUACAUAAUUAAAAACACCACAUAAGUCUUGAAAUUAACACAUAAUUGAAAUGUAAGUAUUUAAUAUUCUUCAUUUGUAUCCAUUUCUUCUCUCCUAAAGAUCUCCAUUUGCAUUAUACCUACAAAAAAUAUGUGAAGAAAAUGAGCAUAUAAUAUAAAUAUAUGCAUUUAAAAAAAUAAAAAAAUAUAAACAAAUGAAUAGAUUGUAAGUUAACAAGAAUAAGAUAGUAAGCAUACCUUUCAACUCACGAAACAUCACGAAUUUAGGGUAGGCUCUGAUGCAUUCCAAGAAAAGUCUAAACAUUGAAUCGAUUAAAUAAGUAGGAGUGAUAUGGUAAAAAAAUUGAAACUAUUAAAAUAAAACAAUAAAUAUACCAUUUUCAAUCUUGUCAAGUUAUUGAAUUUGUUCUUCAAUCUUUUUGAUGUCUUCUUAUAAUAAUGAUUUUCGAAUCCAAUCUUGAGUAUACACAAGAGCUUGUACAAUUUUAGGAGUUAAAAACUCCUAUAUUGAUCAAGCACACGUCCCUCGGUGUUAAAUGCAGACUCUGAAGCAACUGUAGAAACUGAGAUAGCCAACACAUCUCUUGACAUUUUUGAAAGAUUGGGAAAUCUAGGGCUAUUCACUUUCCACCACAAUAAAAUAUCAAAAUCUUCAACAAAAGCCUUAUUAGCCUCAGCUAGAUAUUUAUCCAAUUCAGAUGUUUUAUCCUCACCACCAUUUUUGAACUCACACUUUUUAUACAAAGCUUGCAUUUGCAUUUGUCUUUUCAUUUUUUGUUGUGGUUCACUGAGAGAAACAUGUGUUGGCACACUCGAUCGGUUACAAGUACUAUGGAGUGGAGGCUUAUACUCAUCAAACAAUUCAUACAAAAAUUCCUUCAAUUUUUGCAUUAUUUCACAAGGUUUUUCAGAACUAGACAUUUCACUAAGUGCAAAUUCAAGAUACUUUAGUUUUUGUCUAGGAUCUAAAACACAACCAACAAACAUAAGCAAAUUCAUCUUAUUAAUAUCACCGCAAUACUUAUCAUCCUUCUUUUUCAUCUUGAUGGCCAUAACAUUGAAAUCAACAUUAAUAUUGAACUGAGCAUCUUGUAAAAGAAUAUCAAUUUCAGAAAGCUCGUCAAAAAAAUCAUUGGACGUGACAUAUGAAGUGCCAAAUAUAUGCAAAGUGACUUCAUAAAAGUAUUCCAAGAAAUCCUUCAAGUUUCUAACACUAGCCCAAUCAUCCACACUAGGCCAACCCUCUCCCCUUUCAAGUUUAGCCCUAAAGUUUGUAUCUUGCUCUUCAAAUCCCUCAAAAGCUCUCUCAAGUAGGUCGAGUUCCACCUAGUACAGACAUCAAGACACAAUAUCUUCUUGCACUAUCUUUUCCACCACAACACACUCCUUAAACUUUUGUAACCUAGCUGGAGAUUGUCUCACAUAUCUAACAGCCCCCCUAAUACGUUCAACAGAUUUAUUCAUUUCAUUUAAGCCUUUAACAGCAAUCAAAUUCACAAUGUGUGCCAUGCAUCUCAUAUGAAGAUAUCAUGCAUCUCAUAUGAAAAUAUUUACCAUUUUGAACUAAACCCCCUCGAGGGUUAAAUUUCUUACUCAAAUAACCAAUAGCAACAUUAUUUGAACUUGCAUUAUCAACAGAAACAGUAAACAACUUAUCAAUCACCCAAUUCAACAAACAUUUCUCAAUCACCAUCCCAAUGGACUCACCCUUAUGACUAGAAAUUGGACAAAAGUUUAAAAUCUUUUUAUUCAAUUUCUAAUCAUUAUCAAUAAAGUAAGCAGUGAUACACAAAUAAUUAACUCUUUACAAAGAAGUCCAUGUUUCAGUAGUUAAGGAAACUCUAGAACAAGAACUUCUCAAAAGUUAUUUUAUCUUGACCCUUUCAUCUAAAUAAAAAUGAUAAACAUCCCUAGCCAUAGUAGUUCAUGAAGGAAUAUGAAACCUAGGACAUGCCACGAACAUAAAUUUCUUAAAAUCUUCACUUUCAACAAACUUGAAAGAUGCCCUUUCUUACAUGUUUCUUGAUCAAAUCUUCAAGUUGAAAGAUGCCCUUCCCUCCCCCCCCUUCAGCUCCCUUUCUAGGUAAAACUAGUUGUUCUUGCCUAGUGUCAACAACAUUAGUAGGAUUUUUUUUACAUGAACCAAUAUGAUAUUUCAAUAACCAUGUACCAAUUUUUCUAUAUCACAACAAAAUUCCUUUUGUCAAUAAUUAUAUUUAGCCUUACUUGCACCCUCACUAUUAAUAAUCUUAGUGAAGCGAGACUAAACUUCCGAAUUUUGAGGGGUGGCUUUUCUUUUUCCAGUAGUCCUUUUUGAUUGGCUUGAAGCUCCAACUCCCGAAUUUUCAGAAUCUAUUGAAGUGGGAGGUGUAACACUACCCUCAAUAGAUGUUGGUUCGGUGGACAUUUUGCAAGAAAAAAAAUUAUAUAAUAAAUUAAAAUAAAUUUAUAAUAUUAAACAUAUUUUGAUGUUGAGUUUUAGAGAAAUAAAAUACUGUUUGUCUUUUGAUGUUGAGUUCAACAUAUACUAUUACAUAUUUUGUUUGGCUUAUUUUCCUUCAUUUAAUUUGGCUUAUUUAUGCAUAAAAUCAUACAUAAAUAAAUUUUAAUUGGAUUAAUACCAUUUAUAGACGAGUGUUAAAUUUAUGUGAGUGAGAAAAAAAGUCUCUUUAAAAUCACAUUCAAAUGAUAUAUAAAAAAUCAUCUAUUAUAUAUAAAAAAAUCCAUUAAAAUCACAUUAAAAUUAUAGACAAGUGUUAAGAAAGUAUGUUCAUCUAUUAUAUAUAAAAAAGAAGAAGAAUAUAACAGUAAAAUAAAAUAGAAAAAGGAGACAUUUCAAAUUUAAUAUGAUUAUGGGAUAUGCAAGUAUAGAUUAUAAUAUACUUUUGAUUAAAAAUAAUUAAAUAUACUAUUUUAAUGAAAAUCAUAAUAAAUUUAAUAUGAUUAUGGGAUAUGCAAGUAUACUAUAAAUCUAUACUUUCAUAUCCUAUAAUCAUAUUAAAUUUGAAAUGUCUCAUUUUUUCUAUUUUAUUUUAUUGUUAUAUUCUUUUUCUUUUAUAAAAAUAUUGUUAAGUUAUAUCGAAUUGGUGUCGAUUUAAUUGUUAAUUUAAUUGUCGAUGUAAUCUUUUUACAGUUAUGGUGUCAAUUUAAUUAUCAAAUUGAAGAGUGAAUGUUAUGGUGUUUUUUCAUUCAAAUCUCCUUAAGAUUUCAUAAAUAAUAAAUUAUAAAACCAAAACCAAAACCAAAACCAAAACAAAAGCAAUAGCAAUAUUAACCAAAACCAAAAUCAAAACCAAAACAAAAGCAAUAGCAAUAUUAAGUUGUUAACCUACAAAAUAGACAAGAGCACAAAGCCCAAUCCAAAAUAAACCAAAAAAUAUAAACCAACCCAAAAACAAAACAAAAUUCAUAAAGCGGAAACAAUUAAACUAAGAACAAAAAACAUGAAACACCAAAAGCAGUAGUAGUGCUUGAAGAACAAAUCAUCAUAAACCAGAUUUUAUGAUGAACAAGAAACAAAGAAACAAAUUAAUCAGAUUCAUCAUAAACUAGAUUCAUAAACCACAUGUCUUCUUAAAGAACAAAUCAUCAUAAACUAAUGUCCAAACUAAUAUCUUCUUGUUGAUUUAUCAUAAACUAAUUUUUCGAAAAUUAUCAUCACAAGAAGAUUGAAGAACAAAAAACAUGAAACACCAAAAGCAGUAGCAGUGCUUGAAGAACGAAUCAUCAUAAACCAGAUUUAUGAUGAAGAAGAAACAAGAAAUAAAUUAACCAGAUUCAUCAUAAACCAGAUGUCUUCUUAAAGAACAAAUUAACCAGAUGUCUUCUUGAAGAAUAAAUCAUCAUAAACCAAAUUCAUAAAGGGUCUUAGUGCUACUAUAGCACUCCUCCUCCAGUCAGCAAAUUAACUGGCAGUCACUCAUUAGAAAAUAUCCCACCCUCGAAACUUGUCGAUACCAGUUCCUAAAACCAACAGCCUUCUAUAAACCAUUCCAUUUACUAUUUUUUCUUCUCCCCAAACCCUAUCUCAUCUUCUACUGUCAAUCCAGUUCCCUUCUUUUCCAUCGUCAUAAUCCAUCAUCAACAACCACCGGCACACUUCCACUCAGGUAACUCUCCCUUUCAUUUUUUAGGCAAUCAAUAGCUAAAUUAUGUGCUAAGAUAUUAGUAGAUCUUUUUAUUGGGUCAAAAUAACAGAGUAGCCGAGGAGAUAUGUUUUUCUUAAGCAGACCUACAAACUUGACAACAACUACAGCAUGAGAGGAAAAGCCUACCUUAACUCACCGGUGAUGGUGACCUGGUAGACACCGAAGGUGUGCCUGGUGGACGCCGGACUGUUCAGAAGGUGACUGGUAGUGACAAUAGAGAGAUUUUGGGAGAUUUGAAAUUAGAGAUUUUGAAUUUUGA
rnacentral:lncRNA from 1 species